rnacentral:misc_RNA from 1 species
GAGAUGCGAUAAGUAGUGUGAAUCGCAGAAUUCAGUGAAUCAUCGAAUCUUUGAACGCACAUUGCGCCCUUUGGUAUUCCUUAGAGCAUGCCUGUUCGAGCGUCAUUUAAACCUUCAAGCUCAGCUUGGUGAUGGGUGACUGUCCUCCCCUCGCGGGGGGACUCGCCUCAAAAACAUUGGCGGCCGGUACAUUGGCUUCGAGCGCAGCAGAAACGCGGUCUCGAGUCCUGUGGAUCGGCUCCCAUGAACCUCUUCUUUUAUUUUGACCUCGGAUCAGGUAGGGAUACCCGCUGAACUUAAGC